AGAUAAGUAGUGUAAAUUGUGCACAGUUAAUUUUCAUUUAAUUAGAGUAUAAAUAUACCUAUCUG
rnacentral:tRNA from 1 species